rnacentral:lncRNA from 1 species
CAGGCCAAUAUAAACACGACAAUCUUUCAAGUAAGGCGCAAAACAUGAAUCUUUUUACGAUCAUUUCCAAAUGCAACUUAGUAGAAAAUACAAAGAAAUGUGGAUGGAUGCUGGAGCUACUCAUCACAUAUGUGUAAAUGCCUAUAUACUUUCUAUCUACAAGGCGAUGAAUCCUGAUGAACAAUUCCAUAUAAAAAAACUCUUAAUCUUCCAAAGUUGAAGCAUAUGGAAGUUCAUGCUGAAAAUAACAAGUGGGUAGGAGCGGUAAAUAUGAUUCUCUAUCAAAAAAGUUUUGUUCAGAACUAGAAAAUUUUCAUCAAAUAUUUGCAUCUUAUUCUCCUCAAUCUAAUAGAAUUGUUAAACGCUAAAAUCUCAGAUUGAAUGAGAUGAUGAACGUUAUGUAGAUCAAUUUGAGAUUAUAGUAUGACUCAUGGGGGAAAACUAUCCUCUCUAUCAAUUAUAUUCUCAACAAAUUGUCACACAAAAAUGCACAAGAUAUCUUAUGAAUUAUGAAAAAUAUCACAAACCUAAUUAUAAAUACUUAAAAGUAUGAUGAUAUUUUGCCAAGGUAGAAAUUCCUAAACCUAGUUUAAGAUAUUACCUAAAUCAUUGAUUGUUUAUUCAUUAGUUAUGCCUAUCAUAGUAAUGCGUACACAAUUGUUUGUACAUAAGUCUAAAUUUUAGAUUUGCAUGUUAAUAGGAUUAUUGAAUCAAGUGAAGAAAUUUUUGAAAACUUUUUCCCUAUGAUAUGUAAAGUGAAUCAAAUUUAUUCAAUAUAUCCCAUGAUAAUGGAGAUAUUAUAGAUCAUUAAUCUAUAAAUGAUAAGUGUACCUCCAGAUGGCCAAAGAUCCCGAGACCUCUCACGUCCGAACAAGCCAUUUUCCUGCACACUAGGAUAAACCGUUAGACACACGUGACCUUCUUCGAUGGGUGUCGAGCCAACCACGCACACUCCGAUGGUCAAGUCGAUUGGAGAAGAUGUAUGCGAGUGUGGGAGGGCUUUUAACAUGAGCCUCUAAUAUAAAGAGGGUCGAAAUCGGGAGUAAAGAAUAUAGAGAGCAAAGUUAUAGUAUCAAAGUCUAAAUUUGCAUUACCUUUGGAAUGACAUCAAGUGUGAGCUUUUAUAAUGUGGGAUGAUGAAUAUGGACCGUCGGAUUGGAGGACACAUGGCUCUA